rnacentral:rRNA from 1 species
UCCAGACUCCUACGGGAGGCAGCAGUGGGGGAUAUUGCACAAUGGGGGGAACCCUGAUGCAGCGACGCCGCGUGGGUGAAGGAGCGUUUCGGCGCGUAAAGCCCUAUCGGCAGGGAAGAAGGAGGACGGUACCUGACUAAGAAGCCCCGGCUAACUACGUGCCAGCAGCCGCGGUAAUACGUAGGGGGCAAGCGUUAUCCGGAUUUACUGGGUGUAAAGGGGGCGCAGACGGCGAUGCAAGCCAGGAGUGAAAGCCCGGGGCCCAACCCCGGGACUGCUCUUGGAACUGCGUGGCUGGAGUGCAGGAGGGGCAGGCGGAAUUCCUGGUGUAGCGGUGAAAUGCGUAGAUAUCAGGAGGAACACCGGUGGCGAAGGCGGCCUGCUGGACUGCAACUGACGUUGAGGCCCGAAAGCGUGAGGAGCAAACAGGAUUAGAUACCCCAGUAGA